CACACACACACACAAAGAAACAUUGAGAGUAUUAAGUGUGUAGAAGGAUGUAGACACACACGGCACGGAGUCCCGUCAUUCGUGAAUAUAUGGGAUCAAAAGGGGCCAGGACGAGCCCGAAAACAAAACAACCGAAACGCUGGCGGUUUUUUCUGUUGCACAGCGUCGUUCGUGGCCGAGACACACUUCCACAUUCCAGAACACGCAACAUCUAAAAAGGCACCAAAGAAAAAGGUCGAAUUCAUUAAGGUUCAUCGUCAUUGUGUGCAACAUUCACCUUUAUACGAGCCAGAUGAUCACCACGCCGAAAAUAGACAUACUGUUCACGAUCCUCGAGAACCUGAACAAACGUCUUCCGGGCGAAUCCCUUUCUUGCAACAAUGUCAAAUGACUAGGCAUUUAAAAAAAAAAACAAAAACAAAAUUAGAUAAUAAAAAGGACGAGCACACACACAAAAUAGAGUAGAAUAGUAACCUACAUGUUGUACGAGGGCAUCCUAAAUGUAGGAAUUCCGGCUUUUGGUUCAAGGGCGGUUGGUCCAUUUUGGAGCUGCGAGCAGACGAACGCACAAAAGGAAUGACGGAUUCUUUUCACGUGCUUGGACAGAUGGGACCCAUUCAAAGCCGAAUAAACGGACAAGGAGACACUACCAACACCGACGGAUGCGGAAAAGUCGGCAACGUUAUGAUCAAUUGAAUUGUAAUAGUCAAACAAAACGGAAUAAAUUGAUCGACAUUAUUCAAAGACCCGGUUCGUAUCUUUGACUUUCAUCGCAAAUUGUUCGUCACGCACAAUUCUUUUGCGUUGGCUACUGAUAUCACAAGUCCACAGUUUUCCAUUCAAGGUGCAGCACAUAUGUCGACAUCCAUCACGUGGCAAAAAGGAAUUUUCGCUGACCGGAAUAUUUUAUUUUUGUUUUUAAAAGAAAAUGGCCAAAGCAGAUGGUAACGAGCCAAUAUGCCACGUCUUGGGUUUUUCUUCUUCUCUCAAAUGGGACAACAAUAAAAAAUAAUAAUAAUAAAAAAAAAGUCAAUGUCGAAAUGGCGGAAAUAAAUUAAACAUUCUUUUGUUUUUUUUUUUUCUUCCGAGUCUUUUGGUUCGUUUCGAAACAGCAAUGUGACCUUUCUCCCUUGGCCGGUGGAUGGAGAGCCAACACACCGUUAUUCCACAUUCUGACUUCAACACACACACACGCUGGCCUUUUGUGUGUAAAAAGAACGAAGAAAACCUUAAACCAUCUUUCAACUCCUCCUUCUCUCCUGCUUUUGCGCUUUUCUUCUCUCUCUCUUUCUCUCUCUGCCCACUUAUCCUUACAAAGGCGCCCAAUGGCCCCUACCUUACCUGGUCGAAAAUGCGGCAAACAACAACCUAACAACCGACCAAAUCAUUUCGGUUGUUUUAUCGCUUGCGGCCACAUUUUUUAAACAAAAUUUAAAUGUUGAAGUAUAGAAAAAAAAAUAAAAAUAAAGAAAUAAGAAAAUAAAUAAAAGAUAGACGUCGAACUCACGUGCCCUACUUUGAGGGCUCCGUCAUUCCACCAUCUUCGGCUUCUUCUACUUUCACGCCCUUUUUUUAAGGUUUUUUCCUUCCUAUCUUCCCAAACGUGUCGGGACUACAUAGACGGCCAUGACCGCAGGUCGACGCGGAAACGGGGCCGAACUCAUCUCUUUAAAAAAGAAAAAAUUGUUAAAAAUACGCGGGGGAGUUAAAAGCCAAUACGAACCGAAUAAUAAAAUAAAAAAUACGGAACUUACGAUGUGAAGACAACUAUAAUGAUAUUUUGUGUGUUAUGCGUUCACGUUGGUACAACAUGACCAAAAAAAAAAAAAAAAAAUUGUUUUUUGUUUUUUGUUUUUUUUUCGAAUUGGUUUCUUCUUCUGCUUGGUUUUAAUAGUGAUUAUAGUAGAAAUUUUAGGUAAUAGUAAUCUUAAGGGAUAAUUUGAUGUACGGGACUGGCGCAUUUGUUAUUGGGACGUCGGUUUUCUGGCGUUGCGCUCAAUAUCGAGGCUGUGACGGCGAUCGGCGUUGCUGCUGCUGCUGCCUUCGUGCGGCAAAUCGGCCACCUCCGCCAGGGCGGAUGUCUCUAUCCCUUGCCAGUAGAAUUCAUUGAGCCCUUCGCUGGCUUCCACCGCUAACGACACAGACAGCUGUUCCGUACUGGCCCCUAAUAGACAAGUGCGCAGAGACAGAAAUGGUCAAUCAACUAACGGCCCAGUUAUAACGGAAUACAGAGAAGAAGAAGAAGAAACACAUGCGCAAUUGCGGUGGACUUGGUGGCCACCCAGCCGGUAAAAAAAAAAUAGAAAAAUAAAUGAAAUAAAUUCAUUUUUGAUUCACCUGAAAUGGAAGAAAAGGAUGGCGGACUGCUGGGUGAUGUGCUGAAUCCUGGAACAGAGGCUGGCAUCAUAGAGGAGGAAGAUGCAGCGUUGAGGGCUGAGGUCGAAGUCAAGACACCCCCCGACCCAUCUUCCCUCUGUUGGGUGAUGAGCCGGCGGCGACUCUGACGUGAACGGCCAAGUUCGACCUGGUGGCGCAACUGCAAAAUCGCAUUCUCCAAGGCCACAUUAAUGCUUUUAAUCGACUCGUAUUUGUGCUCGGCCACCUGGAACAAUAGCCAAAGAGCCAAAGAAGAAAGAAAAAUAAUUAACUGUACGUCUAGCAAAAUAUAAUUUCCACUGGCAAGGGCGAAAACAGGGGGGUCCGGUCAAGGAAAUCAAAUCGACCCCCUGCAGGUUUUGCAAUUUUUCUUCUUCUUCUUCUUCUUAUUUUCUUUUCAAAAUGUGAUGCAUACAAAUAGUCCGCAUACUCUCUAGUAUUGUUUGGAACCGCCCUCGAUUUCUCUCAUUUCUUUCUCCGCCACAACACCACACAUAUAAGGAAUAAUCAGUUCAUCGGUCGAAGUGGUAGAAUGUCCGACCUCGAUUCUUGCCAUCCAACACACGCCGACAACACACACACACACACACACCCAAUAAGAGAAUGGAGAGUCCGCCUGUUUUGUUUUUUUGUUUCUUUCUCCGUGCCCGUUGCGCAUUGUUAUUACUACCACACUCAUUUUUUUGUAACUGGGUACCUGCAUGACUUGCUGGUGUUCUUCCUUGACCAGCUGCAGCAAACGCUUCAGCUCGGAAAUGUCCGUCUCGCGACGAACAGCCGUUGCUUCCAUGUCGGCCAACUUGGACGUUAGCGCCUCAUUUUGCCGCCUCUCCCGUUCCAGUUUCUCCCAAUGCGCUUUCAAUUCCUCUGCGAGAAAUAAAAAAGAAACCCCAAAAAAUUAAAUGUAAAACACGACAUGAAUUGGGAGUAACGGCAAUCAAGACAGAAAAACCACGCGAUACCGAUACGCGCUGCCAAUCGAAGCCGAUCGACCAAACCCAUCCUGCACUACCUAUCCACCUACCUUCCAUAAAGAGAAAGAAAUAAAAUAAAAGGAGGAGGAGGAGAAGAAGAAGGGCGCAACGACCUCGAUUCCGGUAUCAAAAUGGCCAAACAACCACCCAACGAAACAAAGUUAACUUUGCGGUCAAGCCAAUUUCCUAUUUUUGUUUAGUGUUGACCGCACAUCAUUCUUUUAAUUAUACCAUUAUUAUUUCCGUUUUCUUAGUUGGUUCGUAGAAACAAAAAAGGAAGCAAAAAAAAAUAAAACCAGAACAGCUUCUCGUCACGUUCCAGACAUUGACCUCUCUAGAAAUAAUGGACCCGGCCACACGUAACCCAAGCUCCAUUUUUUAAGGAGCCCUUAAAACUAAUAAGAAUUCAGUGCAAAAAAAGAACAAAAUAGAAAAACUGGAACGAAAAAAAAAAGAGUAAAAAUAAAAAGCAGUUUGGAAACCUUUAUAAGCGCGAGUCAUCUCUUCCAUUUCGUACUUCAAAAGGGCCCCCGACGGAUUCAUGAGCUGCUGCUGGAGCAAAUUGGCCGUCUCGCGGGCGGCUAUCAAAUGGUAUUGGGAAUCUUUGAGAUCCUGUUGGAAACGCCUGGACUCGUUGGCCUGCCGCCGCAGGUCGUUCAUUUCGGCUUUGACGGCAAACGACUGGGCGUGAAGGCGAUCGGCUUCGCGUCGCAGGGAACGGGCCUCCUCGCGAGCGGCGAACAAUUCCUGCUCGCGCUGGCCUCUAUCCGCAGACAAAUCCUGCAGCUCUUGGAGCAUCUUCUUGGUGCGCUCUUCGAACUGGAGAACGGCCUGCGCGCGCUCGGCUUCGGCUGCGUUGCGGAGACGGCGCAUCGUGUCGGCAUCUCGCCGGACGGCGGCCAUUUCGUUCUGCGCCUGGACCAAUUGCAAUCGCAUCGUGUGCAAUUCUUCCUCAGCCAAACGGCCUUGUUUGGCUUUGGCCAGCAGACGGCGGUUGCGCUCGGCGUGGACUUCGCGGCGGUGGCGCUCGAAUUGCAAUUGACUUUGCAACAUCAAAACUUGUCCUGAACGAAAUAGAAAAUCACGAGAAAUGAAAAAAAAAAAAAUAAAUAAAAAAUGACAUGAAUCAUAAACGUGGGAGAAAGAGAUACAUCCGCCUUUCACCUUGUGCAAGGUGAAAGCUCUUUAUUCAUCGGAAAAGACCAGUUUUUGAAUUAAAUUUGAUUUUUCUCUCUCUUUCGAACACGUUUUGACGCUUUGUCAAUCGUUACGAAAAAAACCAGUUUCCGGCGAGAAAGAGAAAGCGAGGCACUCGUUUUGUUUGUUUACUCUGUUCUUUUCCCUUCACCCCAUAUCGGCUAAAUAAGGUCACUGCGGAAGUGAACCAACCUUUGAGUAGAGAGACGUCUUCCGUAGCGUUCGGUUUGCCUAGUAGGGUAGUGCUGCGCUCGUGAUUUCGGAAGGCAGCGUCGAUGUAGCGGUCGAGCAGUUCGGAUGGAGCCAAUUGUCUUGGAGAAGCUUCCGCCGGGGCCGGCGGAGGUGGGAAGAGCAGCGAUGGAGGCAAAACGCUGAAGAAGAGAUGUUCGUACGGGGUAGGAGGCCAAAGAUCCUGAUCCGUUUGGGACGCCGUUGAUUGUUGCUGAGCUGUUACGCCACUGGAUGAAGUGGAGGGUUCCUCUUUGCCAUCGCCCUCAGCUACGAUGGCCACGCGUUGAUCGCCAUUAGAAUCCAGCUGAAGCAAAUUGGGGCACGAAUGGCUGCGUUUGCGUAAGCGCAACGCCAACGUCGACGCAGUGGGGCCGAAGGAGCUGGUGCUCUCCACUACCGUGCCAAUACUGCUCCCACUUACGGGACUCCCUUGGUUGGCACUGGCCACUGGAAGACAUUGACUGAAAUAGCGGAGUCGCUUCACACGUUGAACAAAGUCGGAGAAGCGCGUUUGGUCCGGCAUGUGCAGGCCGCCAGACUGGCAAGAAGUAUGGCUUACUACACCGCCACCUGCACCCAAAUUUCCUCCCGUUCCUACACCAUGACCUCCUGCAUUCGGACGCGAUUCAAGGACGUCAUCUCCAUAAUUAUAGUCUUCGUGACUAGCACGGUUGUAUUCUUCUGGCUCACUGUCAUCAUGCCGGCCAUCAUCGAUUUUAUCCUGAAAAUACGCAUGUCUUCUGUAUUAGAAUAAAAGUAGGAAAAUACGGGAAAACUACCUGGAGAAGGCUGUCGGGCCUACUAGGUGGCAGAGCGCAUGGCGUUCCUUCACGUGACUGGAUCCACGAUUGCGAAAGGGCGUGAGUUUCCUUUUCAAAAUAAUCUUUAGACGCGGGCUUGGAUGAAAAUAGCCGACACACUUCGCGAUCUUCGGCACUGAUUUGAUCCUAUUCAAACGAAAACAGAGCUCACAGUUAGACAUAAUGUAAAUACCAAAGAAAACGGGUGAACUAUCAUCACUUUGUCUGUGGAUUUGGUGGCUGUCUGAGCGGGGCUUAGCUGUUCGGCUAAAGUAGAAGGGCUCAUGAGGUUUUUGCGAGGAUCGGCGCUGGGCGCUCCACUUGAAUGCCGCGAUCGCAUUCCGGAGAGAACAGGUCCAAAAUGAGCGAACGAAUUGCUGGCCGGUUCUUGGCCGAUCUUCUGCAAUUUGACUCCGAUGACCAUGCCACGUCGGUCGUGAUCACCAGUGCUAACACCAGCUACACCGCUAGCUCCUCCACUUGCUCCUACCCCGGGAAAUUUAAAAGAGUGAAGGUCUUUCUUCAUGGGUGAUGUCGGUGGAAGGGGCAACGGUGACGCUGUGGGUGUCAUGUUUAACGUCCGAGCAACGGACGAAGAUGGUGGUAUGGACGCCUGUUGUUGCUUGAGAUAACUUUCUAUAGGAUCAGGUUUCGGCGUCACCCGGGCGCUCAGAGGAGCCUUCGUGGUUGAAGGCCCUGGAAGCACCCACUGAGCCGGCCAAGACCAUUCUCCAUUGACGUUCAUGGCUUCAUCAAGCCACGGUGCUGGCUGUGUGGCAUUGGCAAUCGAAGGCUCUACAGCACACUGCGGAUGAUAUUCGAUAAGUUAAGAAGAAAAAAAAAAGAAUUCAAAAAUAAAUGCCAAAAUACCGAAGAAGAAUGAACUAGACUGGAACAAAUCAUAUCUUCUCGGUUGCUCAAAUCUUGGCACUCGAGCAAGGAAUAUUUGGCGCAUUCGGUGACAAUGUCGUGAACGCUCAUCUGCUUCCACCUGCAGUAAGAAGUUUAAUAUAUUUAGACGAUCGCAAGACGUUCAUGCUAUCUGACUCUAAAAUGGUGUACUAACCUGGCAGUUCCAAUUUCAAUGUCUUUGGAUGCGGUGACUAAGAGAGGAUGCAUUCGAACUGUUUCCACCAUGGGCUUGACAGUGUGGCUGAAAAUGGGUAAAUUAUCACGUAGCGAAUAAUGUUGGCGCAGGUAGGAAAGGAAAUUGCACGGAUACAUGCCGUACAAACGGUGGAACAAAGCAUAUAGCGCAAUUUGGAGAUGAAGGACGUAAACUUCAGGCUGUUUGGGUUGAUUUGAGUAGUUCCAAGCGGCUAGCCUCGUGAAACUUUCAAAGAUCUCGUUGAGUAUGGAGCUCUCUAAAUUCGGGAUUAUGGGUAUGAGAGCCGUCAGGACAAGCAGGGCAUUGACCAAGACUACUACACCACCAUCAGUCUUCAAGACUUUGAUUAGGUCCCUCAUGACAUAAUGGGAACUUAUUCUGUGAAGCCAUUGGGGUUGUUUUCUGACCAGAAAUCCCAUAAAAAUGAGUGACGAGAGCCUACUGUUGCUGGAACGAAGAGAUUCUGAUAAUUUGUCAAGCAGGUGCUUAGAAUGGGCUUCUCUGAGGCCAAGGAGGAUCUCCAUUGCUCUCAGAGAACCCUUUGACAUGCUGUAAUCGAAGAGGCCCUGCACAAGCCAUGCUUCUUUUGUGGAGUUGAGGUGAUCGUGAAUAAGACUUUUAAUAUCUUCCACCACUGACAGUUGGUUACUUUCCAAGAGAUUAAAGAAGUCAGCUGGAUCCAAGUGCAUGUAUGGAUCUUCCAUUUCCCUAAACAUGAGAUACUAUUCAUCAAAAAGCACUUGUCAAACAAACAUGAAUGUGUUUUACAUUGAAUAAAUUAAGAUAAACUGAUAAAAAUUCACAAGAGGAUAGACGAAAUUGAUGGCGGGUAAUGAAAAAGAACAUUAUCCACGAGCGAACCCUUGCUUAAAAGUUGAAUAAGCUCUCGCUUUACUUGGUCUCAAUUUGAGUUGCCGCGAUAUUAAGAUGUGCUAACUGAUUGUGAGCUUUAUGCAAAUUGAAUUGAUUACCAAAGAAUACGAAUGUUUACCUCGUUUUAUAGCGCUGAGGAAAUGUACGUCUGCAACGAUCAGAGCGCCAUCUAAUCGUACUGUUAUUUACCACCAUUUUUUACCGCGAAUUUGGCAGCUACUUUGUUGAGUUGUUCGUCAGAAAUAUAAUGAAAAGUCGAAAAAUAACAAGAGUACGACAACGAUGAAUUAUUCAUUGAACUGACUGGUUGAAUUAUUCAUUUUUAAACAUUAGCCAAUUGCUAAAGAGUUUAAAAGGAAUAUUAAUAAAAAUGACCAAAGCAGAAGAGACAGAAUAAACUUUCCAACUGAAUGUGAGGCUACAACAAAAAAACUUUGAACCAAAAGGUAACGUAAAAUAAAACGUGACACAUCACCAUGACCAAUGGUUUCUGAGAUUAUGUUAAGAUUAGCUUUGACAUUUCUGGCUUGCCAUUGUUGUUCUGAAUAUUAUCAAACUGAAAUCCGACGUGAUCGUCUAACAUCUGAUUGAUCGACAACUUCUCGUCACAUCCAAAAGCCUUCUGUCUCACGCUCUCAUUCCACUUGACGUAUAAAGUAUUUGCAAGUUAGACGCCAAAUCUUCUCUAAUAAAGAAGCUCAACCAUAAAAAUAUGAAAAUGGACAGAUGAAACAGGGAGAAACCUAAAAAAUUUCCAUGUAACCGACGACAAUCGUCAUCAGCGGUGCCAAACUCGAAAACUGUAAACUAGAUGCAAAUUUUAGAAGUGACAUAAACAUAACAAGAGCUGUUAGCUAAUGUAGGAAAGAUCAGUUGCAGAUUUGAUUAACUAAAAAAUUCUUGGCAUGUCUUUGGAUCUGAAAAAAAUAUAAACAUUCCAACAGGCGUGAAAGAUAUUAUUUAUAUUCUCAAAAAUUAUGCUCUUUCUCGUUAUUCCUAGAAAUAACUGAUACAUACCUGUGCAGUUCAAUUAGCUUUACGGGCAUUCUAUUUACACACGUUCGAUUGUCACGGGGGGGAAAAAUCUUGAUUUCAUCAAAAUGCUAGGACUUUCACCUUCUGUUUUUCUGUAGACUUCUUUUUGGAUUUCUUCCAGAUUUUUUUCAACCAAUGUUUGGUUUCCCUGGUGGUCUGUAGCUCCUGGGGAACGGCUUCGUCCUGAGGCACUUUGUUUUCCUUAAGUUCACCGUUGAUAUUUGACUUUGGGCAAAUAGGGGGAACAAGUUUAGACGAGUAUUUGCUUUUCUCAGAAAUGUCUCCGUUAGGAGAGGAUUGAGCCAAGUCUUUCUUUUCUGGGUUACUCUCAGUUGUGAGGGCAUCAAGUUUACUCAUUCGUCUAGUAGAAAAAGGGAAAACUGAUGAACAGAAACAAAACAGAUAAAAGUAAAAGCAUUUAAGCGUCAGUAACGUACUCGCUUGGAGGCGCCGAAGGAUCGGCAAGUGACUUUUUCAUCUUAUCCCAAAAAUCCCAGUAGGGAUUUUGGCGUGUAAAAUCAAGACGAGUGUAAUAACGGACAGAUUUCGGCAAAUCACAUUGCUGGUAAAGACAUGGAACGAUUUUCCUACAUCCUCUCUCUGCAAAACAAGAAAUAGUAUAUAAAUAUUAAGAAUUAAAUUAAUGAAUUCAAAAAAUUUGGCGAGAAUAUAGGCAAGACAAACCGGCAACGAUUUGAAAUCAACUCCGUCACAGCUUGAUGUUCAAAUGGUAAUCCUGCUAUAAAAUCUCUUUCUUUAAGGCAUAACUAAAAAUGUAAAAAAAAACAAACAAACAAAACAAACUCAAUACAUCAAAUACAGAAAAUGUUUUAUUAACUUAA